UGGGUUUAGAACGUCGUGAGACAGUUCGGUCCCUAUCUGCCGUGGGUGUAGGAUACUUGAGAGGAGUUGCCCCUAGUACGAGAGGACCGGGGUGAACGAUCCACUGGUGGACCUGUUGUGGCGCCAGCCGCAGUGCAGGGUAGCUAUGAUCGGAAAGGAUAACCGCUGAAGGCAUCUAAGCGGGAAGCCCCCCUCAAAACAAGGUAUCCCUGAGGACCGAGGUAGACCACCUCGUCGAUAGGCCGGAGAUGUAAGCGCAGCAAUGCGUUCAGUUGACCGGUACUAAUUGUCCGAUAGGCUUGAUUUGAUCCAG
rnacentral:rRNA from 2 species